GUGGUAGGCAAUUCACCUAGGAGAGCAAACUCUAAACAAACCCGGGCAGGUGGAGGUCGUUAGCCGUGGUAGGCAGUUCACCUAGGAGAGCAAACUCUAAACAAACCCGGGCAGGUGAGGCUCGUUAGCCGUGGGAGGCAGUUCACCUAGGAGAGCAAACUCCGAACAACAAACCCGGGCAGGUGGAGCUCGUUAGCCGUGGGAGGCAAUUCACCUAGGAGAGCAAACUCUAAACAAACCCGGGCAGGUGGAGCUCGUUAGCCGUGGGAGGCAGUUCACCUAGGAGAGCAAACUCCGAACAACAAACCCGGGCAGGUGGAGCUCGUUAGCCGUGGGAGGCAGUUCACCUAGGAGAGCAAACUCUAAACAAACCCGGGCAGGUGAGGCUCGUUAGCCGUGGGAGGCAAUUCACCUAGGAGAGCAAACUCCGAACAACAAACCCGGGCAGGUGGAGCUCGUUAGCCGUGGGAGGCAAUUCACCUAGGAGAGCAAACUCCGAACAACAAACCCGGGCAGGUUGGGUUCGUGAGCCGUCAUAGGCAAUACACCUAGGAGAGCAAACUCCGAACAACAAACCCGGCCAGGUGGAGGUCGUCAGCCGUGGUAGGCAAUCUUCCUAGGAGAGCAAACUCCGAACAACAAACCCGGGCAGGUGGAGCUCGUCAGCCGUGGUAGGCAAUCUUCCUAGGAGAGCAAACUCCGAACAACAAACCCGGGCAGGUGGAGCUCGUCAGCCGUGGUAGGCUAUCUUCCUAGGAGAGCAAACUCCGAACAACAAACCCGGGCAGGUGGAGGUCGUCAGCCGUGGUAGGCAAUCUGCCUAGGAGAGCAAACUCCGAACAACAAACCCGGCCAGGUGGAGGUCGUCAGCCGUGGUAGGCAAUCUGCCUAGGAGAGCAAACUCUAAAUAAACCCGGGCUUGUGGUGCUCGUUAUACUGUCGUAGACAAUCCACGCGAUGGGAACACCAAAGAAAAGGAAAAUAAAUAAGAACACCAGAAAAAUGGAAAAUACAGAAACGAAACAUCAAGAAAAGAAACAAAAAGAUCAUCCACCUUUAGGCCCUAACAUCGCCAAAAUUAUGGAUGGGUCUCUUCUGGGGAGAAAGCGGUUCAUCCAGACCAAAGAACAUCAACAAAAGGAUGAUAUUAAUAAAUGAACAUAAAAAAAACAAAGAAAACACAUCAAGGAAAGAAAAAUAUAACAAACAUCAUCCACCAUCCGGCCCUGACUAACAUCACCAAAAUUAUGGGUGGGUCUCUUCUGGGGAGAAAGCGGCUCACCCAGACCAAAGAACAUCAACAAGGGAUGAUAUAGAAAAGAACACCAAAAAAAUAUGGAAAAAGAACAGAAAAAACAUCGAAAAAGAAAAGCAACAGAAAUAAAUGAGCAACAUCGAGAAAAGAGAAAUACAAAGAAACAUCAUCCACCUUUCGGCCCCAAACAACAUCACCAAAAUUAUGGAUGGGUCUCUUCUGGGAGGAAAGCGGCUCAUCCAGACCAUGGAACAUCAACAAAAGGAUGAUGGGAAAAAAAUAACAACAAAAAACAUCAAAAAGAAGUAAAAAGAAAAAGAACAGAAAAACAUCGAAAAAGAAAACAAAAGCAAUAAAAAGAACGAAAAACACGACAUCAAGAAAAUAAAAUAAAACAAACAUCAUCCACCUUUCGG